rnacentral:lncRNA from 10 species
UCUCAAAACUUUUUUUUUUUUUUUUGAGAUGGAGUCUUACUCUGUUGCUCAGGCUGGAGUGCAAUGGCACAGUCUCAGCUCACUGCAACCUCCGCCUGCCGGGUUCAAGCGAUUCUUCUGCCUCAGCCUCCUGAGUAGCUGGGAUUACAGGCACCCGCCAACACGCCUGGCUAAUUUUUGUAUUUUUAGUAGAGACGGGGUUUCACCAUGUUGGCCACGCUGGUCUCGAACUCCUGACCUCGUGAUCCACCUGCCUCGGCCUCCCAAAGUGUUGCGAUUACAGCCACCACGCCCGGCCUGACUCAAAACGUUUUCUUCACAUUUUUAGUAUUAGUAAUGACAAGGAGGGACACACAAAAAAACUACUUUAAAUUUCAUAUGGAAGCAAAAAUGAGCCCAUAUAGCCAAGAUAAUCCUAAGCAAAAAGAACAAAGCUAGAGGAAUCACACUACCUGACUUCAAACUAUACUACAAGGCUACGGUAACCAAAACAGCAUGGUACUUGUACCAAAACAGAUACAUAGACCAAUGGAACAGAACAGAGGCCUCAGAAAUAAUGCCACACAUCACUAUUCACAAUAUCAAAGACUUGGAACCAACCCAAAUGUCCAACAAUGAUAGACUGGAUUAAGAGAAUGUGGCACAUAUACACCAUGGAAUACUAUGCAGCCAUAAAAAAUGACGAGUUCAUGUCCUUUGUAGGGACAUGGAUGAAAUUGGAAAUCAUCAUUCUCAGUAAACUAUCACAAGGACAAAAAAUCAAACACCACAUGUUCUCACUUAUAGGUGGGAAUUGAACAAAGAGAACACAUGGGCACUGGAAGGGGAACAUCACACUCUGGGGACUGUUGUGGGGUGGGGGGAGGGGGGAGGGAUAGCAUUAGGAGAUAUACCUAAUGCUAAAUGACGAGUUAAUGGGUGCAGCACACCAGCAUGGCACAUGUAUACAUAUGUAACUAACCUGCACAUUGUGCACAUGUACCCUAAAACGUAAAGUAUAAUAAUAAUAAAAUAAAAUUUAAAAAAAUAAAUAAUGUCACACAUCUACAACCAUCUAAUCUUUGACAAACCUGACAAAAACAAGCAAUAGGGAAAGGAUUCCCUAUUUAAUACAUGGCGUUGGGAAAACUGGCUAGCCAUAUCCAGAAAACUGAAACUGGACCCCUUCCUUACACCUUAUACAAAAACUAACCCAAGAUGGAUUAAAGCCUUAAACGUAAGACCUCAAAUCAUAAAAACCCUAGAAGAAAACCUAGGCAACACCAUUCAGGACAUAGGCAUGGGCAAAGACUUCAUGACUAAAACACCAAAAGCAAUGGCAACAAAAGCCAAAAUUGACAAAUGGGAUCUAAUUAAACUAAAGAGCUUCUGCACAGCAAAAGAAACUAUGAUCAGAGUGUACAGGAAAAAAAAAAGAAAGAAAGAAAAGAAAAAAGAAAAAAGGUUUGUAUUUCAUUCUUCAAUAAGAAGUGUUUCAAAAAAAAUGUAUAGUUAUACUUUGUUAAAAAUUACGUAUCCCUACAGAAUGGGAGAAAAUUUUUGCAAUCUACCCAUCUGACAAAGGACUAAUAUCCAUAAUCUACAAAGAACUUAAACAAAUUUACAAAAACAAAAACAAAAAAAACCAGCCCCACCAAAAAGUGGGUGAAGGGUAUGAACAGACAAUUCUCAAAAGAAAUUUAUGUGGCCAAAAAACGUAUGAAAAAAAGCUCAUCAUCACUGGUCAUUAGAGAAAUGCAAAUCAAAACCACAAUGAGAUACCAUCUCACACCAGUUAGAAUACUGAUCAUUAAAAUGUCAGGAGACAACAGAUGCUGGAGAGGA